rnacentral:rRNA from 1 species
UACGUAGGGUGCGAGCGUUGUCCGGAAUUAUUGGGCGUAAAGAGCUCGUAGGCGGUUUGUCGCGUCUGCUGUGAAAACUGGGGGGCUCAACCCCCAGCCUGCAGUGGGUACGGGCAGACUAGAGUGGCGGUAGGGGAGAUUGGAAUUCCUGGUGUAGCGGUGGAAUGCGCAGAUAUCAGGAGGAACACCGAUGGCGAAGGCAGAUCUCUGGGCCGUAACUGACGCUGAGGAGCGAAAGCAUGGGGAGCGAACAGG